rnacentral:lncRNA from 1 species
CUACUGCAGCUGAAUUAUAUUUAACUCUAAGUCUGAAUAUUUCCACAGUAACAUAAGCGAAAUCAAAGGGACGCGUGCCUGCUGGACAGUUYGCCUGGUGAUUACACUGCUAUAAUAACACUGGUGUAACUGGUAAAACUUUCUCCCAGGGACAAAGCCAAAAACUUACCAAAAGAAAAAAACUGAGCAUGAGGAGCUGGGAGGACCUAACUGCUGCUGUUCGGCGCCUCAAUCUGAAGCACAAACAAGCAACAGACUGUAAGGGAAGGAGAGGAGCAGUACUGCCACCAAAAGAAGCCAUUAUCGGCGACCCUGGUCUCUGACAAUGUAGGAAACUGGACCUCGGCCUUUCAGCCCUCGCUGCAGUAUUCCAGCUCAUUUACAAAAAUUCUAAAAUCAAAUUUGAAAAUGUAAUACAGGUAUGACUAAAUAAAUCUAUCGAAAUAGCUUUUUUAGCA